UAUUAAGUUAAUAUUUGUAUUGGUUUAUAUAAUUUCUUAAUUAUGAUUUACAGGAAAGAUGAUUAAGAGGAUUUGAACCGAAAAACUUGGAAUAUUAUUUCGAUACUACUAAGAUGUACCUACAUGUAGCUAUCUGUAUCGUUGGUGUAUCAACUAUAGGAACAUUUAGGGGUGCGCGGUCAAUGUACUAGAGUCAGUUAAUUCAUUCAACAAAGAGAGAAAAUAACUGCAAUAAAAAUAUGAACGGUUUGAAAAACGCGACGUUACUGCCGAAGAUAAAUUAUAACACGCCCCAAGAAAAUGGCAUGACAUAUCGUGCGAGAGUUAGAAAAGGUAAAAGGACGUAAAGUGGUGGGUGUUAGGACAGGAACGGAUUAAUAUCGAAACUUAAUUAGGAAAAUGACGAAGUUGCUAAAUGGAGGCUACUAUAUACAAUGGUUACAGGUGUAGCUUUGUUACGAAACAUUUACAUCUUUUUGCGGUAAUAAAUAAUAACGGUAGAUUUUGUAAGUAUUAAAAUUUUUCCUUUUCUUAUUCCCCUUAAGUCUUAAGGUGCAGGUAACGUAGGUAAUUUCGUUCAUGAAACUUUAUAAAGAAUACUAUAAAUCACUUUAUGAACGAUCUACAUAUUUAUGUUUGGGUUAUGAUAAGUGAAUUUUUGAGAGGACCUCUUUCAAGGGUGUCUCGGAUAUUUUUACAAGGGUGCCGCCACUUCGACUGUCUCAUACAAGAAAAUGUUUUUAGUCGCUUGAAAAGGGAGGAUGAAGUAGAUUGAGAGUGACGCACACGAAUGUGUUUGCGUACGAGGAAAGCAAAGGGUCGGUUAGUAAUUUCUCCGACUGGUCAGUAGAAGAGUUUCGUAUAGAACAGCCAGAUAGCUCGUGUCGCAGACCGUGGAUGUACGGAACUGUAUCGAUCGAGGCGUUAAAUAUUUAAUCGCAGGAAGAAAGUUCAAUACACGGACGAGGACGGUUGUCUUUCGAAGACAGGCCGAAACGAACAAAAAUGAACACGACAGGAACAAGGCAACACGCAACAAUUCCUCGUCUGGCUGGUAUUUGCCAAGACUGGGUUGACUUUCAUUAUUUAGAGCGGCGGAGAAAAAUGAGGAUCGUCGACACGUCGUUUCUACCACAUAUCGAUCGUAAUUUACCAGACAACUUACUCAUAUGCAUGUAUACUAAAACUGCAAUCUUUUUGUACAGUUUAGUUUAACUUCAUUUAAGCGACUUACUGUUUUCUCAAAAUCGUUUCCGCAGCGAUUUUUAUUUACAUGCGAAAUAAUUUCGUAAUAAUUAUAAAAAGAGUGCGUUACAUAAAUGUAAUUCAUCCUAACGCAAUAUGGCGUCUGAAUAAUUUCAGAAAAUUAUAAUGAUUACGAUGUUGCAGAAAGAAAUUGUUGAAAUAUGAAUACCAAUGAAUUUGGGUCAACUAUUCAUGCAUAAAAUAUACUCCAUUCAUAAAUAGAAACGAGGUAAUGGAACAUUUCUACACGGUCUGAUCCCAAACUUUACUCGAAUGACUUCCGGUAGUUGAAUCUUUGAAUGAGGGAAACAUUGGCAAAACACGAUUACGUUUCAAUGAUUCGUUUUCACAAGAAAUUGAUAAUUAUGGGAGGCAUUAUCAGAAAUUAUUCUUUUAAAAUAUUUUUAGUGCUAAAUUAAUGUAUAAUAGGAGAAGAAGGGAGCUUCAUUAAUGUUUGAAACUUUACAUGUAUUUGCUUGAAAAUUGCACUAUGCUAAUCAUUGCAUUCAAACAUAUUGUGCUACGAGAAAUUAAUUGAAAAUUGUAUUGAUACUCAAAUUUCAGUAUAUAAAAUAUUAAUAUGACAUAUUAAUUGGAAAGUUUUCAUUAGGACAUGAACAUUUUAAAUGAGUUGUAAAUGUAUUAUAUCGAAUAAAUUUCGUAAGCAAAGUUCUAUGUAUAUUAAGCAACUCUGAUAGCAACGGAGUAUCGAUUGCUUCGAAAGAUUCUAUACCUAGCAAUAAAAAUGUCGCAAUUUACCUUUCAAAAAAUAAAACAGGCCAAUUUUCUACCCUAUAUUGACAGGUUGCUUGUUACUGAAAAAUUGCAUUGAAAGCACGCGUAACUACCGAGUGAAGUCGAUAAACAGUAGAGAGAUACGAUCUUUCCCAAGUCACCAAGGCAAGCUAGCUUCUUGUGGACUGUGGUGCCGUCUUUUUUGGUAGUACACUUUUAAAGGAGUUUUUAGAUAAGAGGACUUUAAUAGCUAACACCGAACAAGUUAGCCGUUGCAAGUUUUAGUACAUCUUAGACUCUC